rnacentral:rRNA from 1 species
AUUGAACGCUGGCGGCAUGCCUUACACAUGCAAGUCGAACGGCAGCGCGGACUUCGGUCUGGCGGCGAGUGGCGAACGGGUGAGCAAUACAUCGGAACGUACCCUGUUGUGGGGGAUAACUAGACGACAGAUUAGCUAAUACCGCAUCCGACCUGAGGGUGAAAGUGGGGGACUGCAAUGCCUCACGCAGCAGGGGCGGCGGAUGUCUGAUUAGCUAGUUGGUGGGUUAAAGGCCCACCAAGGGGACGAGCAGUAGCUGGUCGGAGAGGACGAUCAGCCACACUGGGACUGAGACACGGCCCAGACUCCUACGGGAGGCAGCAGUGGGGAAUUUUGGCCAAUGGGGGCAACCCUGCUCCAGCAAUGCCGCGUGUGUGAAGAAGGCCUUCGGGUUGUAAAGCACCUUUGUCCGGAAAGAAAUCGCGCUGGUUAAUACCUGGCGUGGAUGACGGUACCGGAAGAAUAAGCACCGGCUAACUACGUGCCAGCCGCCGCUGUAA